GUCUCAAGCAAGAAGCCAGGAAGAUCCGGCCGAAAGAGAAAGGAGCUGGAUCUAAAGAGGACCUCAACAAUCCCACUAAAUAAAAGAAGGACAAUUCGAUCUCUGGCACGGUCUCUAGGUGUGGCCCGAUCGACCUUACAUAAGAGGUUCCAGUUG
rnacentral:rRNA from 1 species